GAUGAAGAACGUAGCGAAAUGCGAUAAGUAAUGUGAAUUGCAGAAUUCAGUGAAUCAUCGAAUCUUUGAACGCACAUUGCGCCCGCUAGUAUUCUGGCUGGCAUGCCUGUCCGAGCGUCAUUUCAACCCUCAAGCCCCCGGGCUUGGUGUUGGGGAUCGGCGAGCCUCCGCGCCCGCCGUCCCCUAAAUCUAGUGGCGGUCUCGCUGUAGCUUCCUCUGCGUAGUAGCACACCUCGCACUGGGAAACAGCGCGGCCACGCCGUUAAACCCCCAACUUCUGAACGUUUGACCUCGGAUCAGGUAGGAAUACCCGCUGAACUUAAGCAUAUCAAUAAGCGGAGGA
rnacentral:misc_RNA from 1 species